rnacentral:lncRNA from 1 species
AUAUGCGAUUUAAAAUUUUCCUCAAAUAAAAGCGCUAACGUGUUUCGGAAAUCACAUGGGUCAUGAUCACCUCAAGCAACGUCACCAUAUUGGGAUGCAUCGGUGAUUUGUGAUUUAUCAUUUCGCAGAAAUCACAAUUAUAAUGUCCUUCUAAUCAUAAUUAUGUGUUUCCAAAAGCAUGGUAUUGGCAUUUAAGGUGACUACCACUGGAUCAUCUGUAAAUGACUCAGCCUGAUACUAUAAAUGUAACAAAGACAUAUUAUCAGAGGCAGAUCCAUCUACUUGAUGAACCAUUGACCUUUCUGACUGAUAUAACUGAGACUGCUCAAUAUUCACCACUGACCUAUCACCUAUAAGCUAAGAAUAUGAGACUACAACAAGUAGCCCUAACAUGGAAAGAAAAUGAAACAUGGAUACAUGAAUUGAAAUUGAAAAUAGAAGAAAAAUAUGACCUGAGAUCCCGUAGAAAAUUGUGAUUGGAGAACUCCUUCAAUGUCAAUCUUUCCUCUGCACGUUGAAGUCCAAGUUCGGAAAAGUUUUCUAAAUGAGCUCUAACUGUAAUACAAAAUAUAUGUAUCAUAAAAUUUCAACCUUAGACCCAUCACUUGUACACAUUCACAAAGCAUUGCAGAAGAAUAAUUAAGUACAAAUGCACAUGAAAUAUAGUUGAAAUAAAUACCUGGAUUUCGAUGUAAAAGGCUUGUGCUAAGAUUCAAGCAAUCAGAUUGUAGCUCUUUCAAAGCCUUUGGUGGACGGUGCAGUUCAGUACAUGACAAAAUAAUUUGAAAAAGCUGAAAAAACAAAUGAUAUUGAUGGAUAAGAAAGAUAUUUACGUUAAAAAAAUAAAUAUUACUUACGAAAACAUAAAAAACAAUACAUACGUAACUAUAAUCUUUUAAAAGUUGAUUAAAAAAAUAGUUAAUGUACUUUUGCCUCUUCACUACCUGCAAAAUUGAUAUUUCUAUUGAAUGGCUGCCUCCCAAUCACUAACUGAUACAAUAUUGCCCCAACACUCCAUAAAUCAGCCUGCACCUAUAACAAUGCCUCAAUUUUAUUUAUUUUGUACAAAAGAAAACAGGAACAGUAUGUAUCAGUAGUUGCAAUUUGAUCCCAGUUCUAUCUUCUCACCAUGGCCUCAUACUUUUGACUUUCAAUUACCAUUGCAGCCAUGUGAUAAGGUGAAUCAUAUAGUGUAUCUGCCAACUGCUGGGGUGCGAACCUAGUACAACAAUAAAUCAAGGCACUGCCAAUGCACAUGAGAAGACUAUUUGAGUAUGUUUCAUAUAAAACUAAAAGGUAUAUAUUAUAAAGUAUAAACAGCUACUAAACUUACAAUUAGUUUCAAUAUAAACUAAGAAGGAAUAAGAUAGCUUAGUAUCUACUAUCUAGUAAAUCAAAUUAUUAAUGACCCGUGCUAUUACUUGUUGUAUUACAAAAAAAUCAAGAAAUAACAUCACCGAAAAAACGAACAAACAAAGAAGCAAGAAGAAACAGGUCUGUUAGAAUAUAAUAUAAAACCAUUAAAGUGGCCCUUACCCAACAGCUUAAGCUUUUGGGAUAAGUUGUUAUUUGACAAGGUCACUCCAGCUUAUAGCAGCAAUUAAUGAGGAAUAAACAUGUGCUUGUAUUGUUUAAUUUACUAAGAAACCAUCCUACCUUGCAAAACAAAAAGUCAAAACAUGAACAAAUUACUGUGCUUUCAAUAAUAACACAGACAAUUAUUACAGGUUUGAACGGGAGUUGAUUAUAUGAUAUAACAUUAAAUCAAUACUCACAUGUCAGUGUUUGGGAGAGCUUAUGCAAACAGCUUGGGAAGAGCUUAUUUGAGCUUAUCUGAUAGCAUAAGCUCUUAUGUCAGUGUUUGGGAGAGCUUAUACAAACAGCUUAUGGUCUACCAUAAGCUGUUUUGAGCUUUUUUUCAUAAGCUAUUCAGGAUAGCUUAUGAAAAAGAUCUUAUGCUUAUAUAUAACUUAUUUUCGAUUUAUUUCAAUAAAAUUUUUAAAAUAACUUAUGAAUAAGCGCUUAUGUCAAAAGCGCUUAUGACCAUAAGCGCUUAAUUAAGCUGUGUUUCCAAACGGGGCCUUAGUAGGUCCUUAAAGAGCUUUUGGGUCUUAUAAAAAGCGCUAUAUCAUGAAAACAUUUAUAGUUAUUCUGAUACACAUUAUAAAACGCUUUUAUAUGGAAAGCGAUUUAAUAGUGACCCAUACAACAUUUGAAAUAACAAAAAUGUUGUAAAACCGUACUGCACAUUUACCGUACAAAAUAGUCAAAACUAAUAAAUCAACCUGAAUAUGCCCAGCUUCAAUAUUGAGAAAAUUGUUACUAAAAUAUAAUUAAACUAGGUAUUAAAGGAAAUUCAGAACCCCAAUUAAAGAAAACUGCUAGUACAUCCUUAAUCAAAGAAAACUCAAAAACAUGUUUGAAACUCUAGCAAGUUUUUGUACCCAAUAACCACUAAAUCAGAGAGUAACAGGUAGUCAAAAUUUCACAACAAAAUGAACACAAGCAAAUCUUUAACUCAUAACUUUAUUCAAGUAAAGCAGGAACGCAAGACCAUAAAAUUUGCUUAUCUAACUAAAACCAUUGAAUCAGAUAAGCAAAAUAGAAUCUAAAACAUGGGUUUGGGGUUUAGAUAUUCAUACCUUGUUAAUGAGAGUGUUUUCUUCAACGACCCUUUAGAGCCCUGGUCAGUGCUGUGAGUGCAGUUCAUCAAAGCCAGAGUUUUGAGCCAACCAUUGGCCUUUUGUGCCCCUGUAUGUGAUUAUCGAAAACAAUUUACCUAGUUAAUUACCAAAUAUUAAAUUAAUCAGUGGUUAAACCACAACUUAACUGUUACAGGAACAUUUUAACUAACAUAAUUAGGCCUACAUUAAUUUAACCACAGGCGCAGUUCAGAAAUAGAUAUAGAAACAAGGAUAAAUAAGCACACACAAAAACAGAAAACAUACCAUUUCAAUGCUAGCAACACCCAUGCUCGACAUACUUAGAAGUGCCACGAUCUCACCUUGCUUCAACCUCUUCCGCACAAUCUGCCCCAAUAUCAUUUAAAACAGUGAUAUCUAUUCAUAACGGAUAAAAACAGAGCAACAAAUUUAAGAUCUUAGAUAAUCUGAAAUUUGAACGAAAAGGCAAUAAUGAUUUAAAUUAUACCUACAACUUAAUCACAUAGUGUAUCUGCCACCGCUGAUCGCCACCUCUUCCAAGGAAGAACAUCAUCCCACCAAGAAUUUAUUCAACACCGUCUAAUGGCAACUAUUCGACCCAAUGGUUCCAAUAUCCUAAUGUCGUCAAUCCCUAUCAAUUUAUUCUUUCCGUCAAUUAGUUAGGAAUCGGAAAUUUCCUUAUGCUUAAAUAUCACCACUUUAAAGGCACCUCUUCCAAUUUGCAUGUUAUCAUGAAAAUCAUAAUGCCCAAAUAAAAGAAACGAGAGAAAAAUUACCAAAUAAAUCAACAAGAUUUAAUGUUAUCUAUGCACAGCGAGCUUGCUUGUCUAAUUCCAAGCUUCAAGGAUAUAGAAAACCAUCUGCAAAUUAACAUUUAUAAGAAAUUAAGCAACUUGGCUUGAAAAGACAGGUGGGCCUUCAUCCAACCCUAUUUUUUAAAGCUAAUAAAAGGCACGACACUCACCCUCUUACCUGUUCCAGAUUUGUAGCGCACACCCCCAUCAUUCUUACACACUAAGUAGCUUUACCUGCAUAAAAAGAAGCUCUUUCCACCGUUGUCUGUGGGAAGCACAUUCAAAAUGUCGACUGCUUGGUUAUCACAAUACCGAGAAGGCCUAUGAUUAAAGAAUUUCGGCAACCUAUAGAGAUUGUUGUUGAUUAUGCCAUCCAUAGAAACAAGCACAGCAAUUUAAAAAUAGAAGAGAAACCCAUAUUAAAAAAAACCUAUCAGCAGCUGGGGUGUGAUUUAAAGAUGCCAAUUUGGUUCAUAUUUAGCUAGUUUGUCUGAUACGUAAAUAAAUUGAAAAAUAAAACAACUAGUUGAUCAAAAAAAGUAAGUUAUUGGAUCACCUUCAUUUCAGGCAUCAGGACUCGCUCAACAGUAGUUCCAAAUGUAGCCUUAAAUAUUAAUUCUGCUAAAGUCUCUUCAGCAAUGGACAAAAGCCUAGGAAAAACAUCACGUGAUUUCGUAAGGUCAGACAUACACAUCCAAGAUUUCAAAGAAAACAAUAAAGGAAAUAGACCAAGACAAAGAACAGCAAGGAAAGGUACCUUGGUAGAAAACUAUUCUGCCACCAAAUUUGAGUCAACCCUCAACUUAUCAUUAUUGGAAAGGCAACAAGGGUCUAUAAUCAGAAUUAGCAUUCACACGACUUUAGGGUCCAUGAUUCACCAUCUCGUUUUAGGGACUUACUUUGAUGAUUUCCAUCAAAACAGCCAACCCUCAAAUUAUCAUUAUCCGAAAGGCAACAAGGGUCCAUAAUCACAAUUAGAAUUCCCGCGACUUUAGGGUCAUUGUUGACAUGAUUUACCAUCUCGUUGUAGGGACUGAUGAUUUCCAUCAAACCAGUCAACCCUCAAAUUAUCAUUUCCGAAAGGCAACAAGGGUCCAUAAUCAAAAUUAGCAUUCUCACGACUUUAGAGUCAUUGUUCACACGAUAUACCAUCUCGUUUUAGGGAAUCACUUUCAUGAUUUCCAUCAAAAGGGUCAACCCUCAAAUUAUCAUUAUCCGAAAGGCAACAAGGGUCCAUAAUCACAGUUAGAAUUCCCACGACUUUAGGGUCAUUGUUGACAAGAUUUACCAUCUCGUUGUAGGGACUCACUUUGAUGAUUUCCAUCAAAACACUCAACCCUCAAAUUAUCAUUUCCGAAAGGCAACAAGGGUCCAUAAUCAGAAUUAGCAUUCUCACGACUUUAGAGUCAUUGUUCACACGAUAUACCAUCUUGUUUUAGGGAAUCACUUUAAUGAUUUCCAUCAAAAGGGUCAACCCUCAAAUUAUCAUUAUCCGAAAGGCAACAAGGAUCCAAAAUAAGAAUUAGCAUUCUCACGACUUCAGGGUCAUAGUUCACAUGAUUUACCAUCUCGUUUAAGGGACACACUUUAAUUAUUUCCAUCAAAAGGGUCGACCCUCAAAUAAUCAUUAUCCGAAUGGCAACAAGGGUCUAUAAUCGAAAUUGAUAUUCUCGCGACUUUAGGGUCAUUGUUUACAUGUUUAAUCGUCUCGUUUUAGGGACUCGUUUUAGGGGCAAGCAUUGGUGAUUUCCGUCAAUAGGGUCAGCCCACAAAUUAUCAUUAUUCGAAAGGCAACAAGGGUCCAUAAUCAGAAUUAGCAUUCUCACGACUCUAGGUACAUUGUUCACAAGAUUAACCAUCUCGUUUUAGUGAUUCCUAUAGAAGAUUUCCAUCAAAAAUGUCUACCCACAAAUUAUUAGGCAACAAGGGUCCAUAAUCAGAAUAGCAUUCUUGCUACGUCACGGUCAUUGUUCACAUGAUUAACCAUGUCAUUUUAUGGACUUAUUUUACAAACUCGCAUUGAUGAUUACCAUCAAAAGGGUCAGCCCUCAAAUUAUCAUUACCCAAAAGGCAACCCGGGUCCUUAAUCAGAAUUAGCAUUCUCAAGACUUAAGGGUCGUAAUUUACAUGAUUAACCAUCUCGUUUUAGGGACUUAUUUUACGAACUCGCAUUGAUGAUUACCAUCAAAAGGGUCAGCCCUCAAAUUAUCAUUACCCAAAAGGCAACAAGGGUCCAUAAUCAGAAUUAGCAUUCUCAAGACUUAAGGGUCAUAAUUUACAUGAUUAACAUUCUCUCAUCAUUCUCAUUUUAGGGUGAUUUGUGAUUUAUAAUUUCCCACCAAUAACAAGUGUGUUUCCAAAUCACAUGGGUCACGAUAAUCUCAAGCAACCUCCCUAUAUUGGGAUGCCUCGGUAAUCUGUGAUUUAUAAUUUCCCUCCAAUGACAAUUAUGUAGUUCCGAAAUCACAUGGGUCAUGAUCACCUAAAGCAACCUCACUAUAUUGGGAUGCCUCGGUGAUAUGUGAUUUAUAAUUUUCCUCAAAUAAAAGCGCUUACGUGUUUCGGAAAUCACAUGGGUCAUGAUCACCUCAAGCAACGUCAGCAUAUUGGGAUGCAUCAGUGAUCUGUGAUUUAUCAUUUCCCAGAAAUCACAAUUAUAAUUUCCUUCUAAUCAUAAUUAUGUGUUUCCAAAAUCAAAUGGGUCAUGAUCACCCCUAGUAUUAGAAAUUGGGAGGCCUAUACUCAACCACAAAAGCUAGCUCAAAAGUUGAGGUUUGCACUAUCUAUGCUCUAUCUCUAGCCAAUGUGGGACUUCUAACACACCCCCUCACGUCCAGGACUGAACAACCUGGAACGUGGGAUCAACAACAACGGGUGCCCAGAAUAUGGGAAGUCUCCACAACAAACAACAAAUGGAUCUAGGAUAGGCUCUGAUACCAUAUUAGAAAUUGGGAGGCCUAUACUCAACCACAAAAGCUAGCUCAAGAGUUGAGGUUUGCACUACCCUUAUAAAGGCUAUCUAUGCUCUAUCUCUAGCCAAUGUGGGACUUCUAACACCUAGCAACCUCGCUACAUCUGGAUGCCUCAGUGAUCUGUGAUUUAAUAUUUCCCUCUUAUAAUCACAAUUAGGCAUUUCUGAAAUCACAUGGGCCAUGAUCACCUCAAGCAACCUCACCAUAAUGGGAUACCUCGGUGAUUUGUGAUUUAUAAUUUUCUUUCAAACACAAUUAUGUGUUCUUGGCGACACUUUCAUUAGCUAUAUAUUUCUUUAAAUUGGGGGUAAAAUUGAAGUGGUCAAGUAUUUAUGAUGUGCCUAAUGCGUAAAGAUGAAGCCAAGAGGCAAUCAUGCGUAACAAGCCGUGGGUUUUAAUUUUGUUUUAACUGCAAUGCAAACAAAUGAAAGAAGCACGCGACACAUAGGUCUCUUGAUUCUAUUUCAAUUUUCAACAACAAAAAACCAACUAAAAUCCAACCAGCUACAUAUAUUUUUAAUUUUAAUUUUCGUAUUUUAUAAAAAUAAAAAUACCAUGUAAUAAUUCAUAAUUCAUAAUAAGUUACAUAAUUUACUUUAUGGGAAUAAUUCUUCUUCUUCAAUACUCAAGUUUCUACUCAGUUACAAGAUGUGAUAAAAUAAGGAAGGGACUAACCUCAUUUAAAAUUUCAUCUAUCUCCAAGGAUUAAAGUUUAGAGCUCCACUAUACACAAACAUCUAAAUGAACUGCUGAAAGAAAUGGAACCAACCUUCUGGAAUAACAAAAUCUGCUCAACAACAGAUAAGUCAGUAUCAGUGGCUGGUAAUAAAACUUUUACAUGCAUACCAUGGCUUUAAUAAUAGUUAGAUUAAUACUAAAUGAUGAUAAACCAUAGAAAAUCAAGAAUUUAAUUUCCCAUGAAUUGAAAAUGUAGUUUUACACAUAACUACAAGUAUCUCAUCAAAUUAGAGUUCAGGAUGAUCUAAUAUGAAAAAUAGUGAAAUGUUAUCCAAUUACGCAUUGAGUGAAUAGCAUUGCUUUAUAGUCCUGCAUGUAAGCCAUUCCUCUCCAUAAUUACUUCUUAGAAAAUCUUGUUAAUCGGAUUCAAGCUUGUCCGUCUAUUGCUUAAUUGGAUAACAUCCUUUCUUUCCAAAAGCAUGGUAUUGGCAUUUAAGCUGACUACCACUGGAUCAUCUGUAAAUGACUCAGCCUGAUACUAUAAAUGUAACAAAGACAUCUUAUCUGAGGAUGAGCCAUCUACUUGAUGAAACAUUGUCGUCUUCAUAAAGCCUUAUAUAACUUGAAACAGGUCCCUCGUAUCAGAGACUACGAUCUACCCUUUAUAGUUUGGCUUUAUCUCA